UGGGGAAUAUUGGACAAUGGGCGAAAGCCUGAUCCAGCCAUGCCGCGUGUGUGAAGAAGGCCUUUUGGUUGUAAAGCACUUUAAGCGAGGAGGAGGCUACUUAGAUUAAUACUCUAGGAUAGUGGACGUUACUCGCAGAAUAAGCACCGGCUAACUCUGUGCCAGCAGCCGCGGUAAUACAGAGGGUGCGAGCGUUAAUCGGAUUUACUGGGCGUAAAGCGUGCGUAGGCGGCUUCUUAAGUCGGAUGUGAAAUCCCUGAGCUUAACUUAGGAAUUGCAUUCGAUACUGGGAAGCUAGAGUAUGGGAGAGGAUGGUAGAAUUCCAGGUGUAGCGGUGAAAUGCGUAGAGAUCUGGAGGAAUACCGAUGGCGAAGGCAGCCAUCUGGCCUAAUACUGACGCUGGGGUACGAAAGCAUGGGGAGCAAACAGG
rnacentral:rRNA from 1 species